GGCCAAAUAGCUUAGUCGGUGGUAGAGCAUGAGACUCUUAACCUCUGGGUUGUAAGUUCGAGCCUCAUGUUAGGCCA